CCCGUAAUCCGGGUUGCGGACAGUGUCUGGUGGGUAGUUUGACUGGGGCGGUCUCCUCCUAAAGAGUAACGGAGGAGCACGAAGGUUGGCUAAUCCUGGUCGGACAUCAGGAGGUUAGUGCAAUGGCAUAAGCCAGCUUGACUGCGAGCGUGACGGCGCGAGCAGGUGCGAAAGCAGGUCAUAGUGAUCCGGUGGUUCUGAAUGGAAGGGCCAUCGCUCAACGGAUAAAAGGUACUCCGGGGAUAACAGGCUGAUACCGCCCAAGAGUUCAUAUCGACGGCGGUGUUUGGCACCUCGAUGUCGGCUCAUCACAUCCUGGGGCUGAAGUAGGUCCCAAGGGUAUGGCUGUUCGCCAUUUAAAGUGGUACGCGAGCUGGGUUUAGAACGUCGUGAGACAGUUCGGUCCCUAUCUGCCGUGGGCGCUGGAGAACUGAGGGGGGCUGCUCCUAGUACGAGAGGACCGGAGUGGACGCAUCACUGGUGUUCGGGUUGUCAUGCCAAUGGCACUGCCCGGUAGCUAAAUGCGGAAGAGAUAAGUGCUGAAAGCAUCUAAGCACGAAACUUGCCCCGAG
rnacentral:rRNA from 1 species